UCCUCUUCCUCUUCCUCCGCACUCGUCUCGUUCUUGGCUCUGAGGGGGCCCUCGGAACGUCCUGUUCUCUGCUGGAGCGCUGUGCACAGCCCGCCGGGAACAACAGUCAAGCGUCAUCCCGCCAUGGCUGGAGGAAACUGAGUGGAAAGAAGGAGCGAGAGAGAGAGAGAGAGAGAGAGAGAGAGAGAGAGAGAGGGGAGGGAGAGAGGAAGAGAGGGAGGACGGUAGAGAGACAGAGACAAUUAAAGCUAUAAAAGAAAGAAAGACAAAGAGAGGAAAAGACCAAGAUCACAAUAACAGAGAAAAACAAAAGGAUUGAGAGAAGAUGGAUAUGGAGAGUGAGGAGAAACAUUUGGGGAAGACCUGAGACAAGUAUAUGGUGUGUGUUUGCAUAGAUCCAUAUGCUGAAUAUGAGCUCGCUACAAGGGUUUAUAAAAGCCCCUGACACCAUGACAACCAUUACUCUCAUCUAGAUAUUUCAUAUCUGUUCCACAUGGCAAUUUCUUAACAUUAUAAACAGGCUCAGUCUCCCUAUCUUUACCCCCCACCACACACAUGCAUACACACACACACACACACACAUACGCACACACACACAUACACACACUUAAGGUGCAGUGUCAUGGAACGAAGAACGUUUUGGCGUGGUGCACAUGGGGGCCACAGCCUCAUGUUAAUGGUGGUGAUACUAAUGUGCAGAGACAGAGCUCAGGCCACACAUGCACACACACAAACACAGACACACACACACACACACACAUGCGUGUGCACAUACACUUACACACACACACACACACACACACACACACAAACACACACACGUGUGUGCACACACACUUACACACACCAAUGCGCAUGCACAUACACUUACACACACUUACACACACACACACGCACACGCACACAGAACUUACAUCAUAUCUGUUCCUUUCCCUGCACUCACAUGGGCUAGGUUGACUAGUAAUGACUUGAUACUAAUUCAAUGUUGCAGUUUGGUUGUGAAAAAAACUGUAGUCUUUCUCUCUCUCUGUCUCUUUAUACAAGAAUACUGCAUACACCAGUUUGGACUUACCUGUAUAUAUAUGCAUAUAGAUCUGCCAACUUAUGUGUUUCCUUAAAAGUAGGCACAAUUCCAUCUGCAAAUGCCCAUAACGACACGACUUCUUCCCCAUAGAUCCGACAUUUUCGACAUUCUUUGGAAUAGUUCCACUUCUGCCGAUGAAACCAACUUUUCCUCUAACAACACAGAACAUUGUCUUUUGCUUUUACCACCUCAACUUCAGCCUCCUCUCCUUUUCUUAGUGCGCAUUUAUGAAAACUUUUUUCCUUCUUCCGGAGGUCGGGUGGGGUUCUGGGAAGCCAUGUAGGGUGAGAGGCUUGUGUAGGAGACAGAGGAGAAGGGA
ensembl:lncRNA